rnacentral:tRNA from 1 species
GCGCCCGUAGCUCAGUGGAUAGAGCGUCUGACUACGGAUCAGAAGGUCGUGAGUUCGAAUCUUCCCGGGCGCGCCA